ensembl:lncRNA
UUAAUGCAAUCGUUUUUUAAUUACAACAAAAUGGGCAAAUCACAAACCUCCAGAAUUGUUGUGCUGUAUGUGGUAACAUUGUAGUUUUAAUGUAUUAACCACAUUAACAUUACUACUAUUACACAGCCCUAUUCAUUGGAUCAUUAGCUUAUAUAGCGUAGGCGUAUUACAGAAAAUCAUCCUCUGUUGUCAUCUCACUAUUAUCAAUGGAACACAUUUCACUUCCUGUUUCAUUGUUAAUCAUCAACAAAAGCACCACAUUUAUAACCACUAAUCAGUAGAUUGACAUUAACACUGGUUUGUACAACCUUUUUAGGAUUUGUAUCAUUGCAUGACUAUAGUAAGACUUCACACGAAGACUGAGGACUCCAUUAGCUUCAAUGUUUGCAGAUCUGUAGGGGUGGAAGCAAUAUAGUGGAAGCUCUACAACAAUACUGCUUCUACGUAUAUAGAUGCUUCAGAUCUGACAACCUUGAAGUAGUUCAGGGCCAAGGAGAAGGGGUAGGGAGCAAAUUAGGACCAGGUAUGCAUCAGCCACAGCCUCCAUCUUCCUCUUCCUCCCCCUCCAAUUCAGGGCUGCCGAUCUGCACCUGCCUAGCCAGGAACACUCCAUCUUCCCAGCGGGGUGGUGGUGAUGAUGAUGAUGAUGAUCCCCUCUGCAUGUCUCUCUCCAAUAGAAGAGGCUCCUCACUCUCUGACGUGGUCUUCUCUGAAGAGUUAGACGCUGUGGCGCCCAACCCUUGGAUCUGUGGCUGAAACCUUAGCUUGGCUGGGUCAGGAAAACAGGGAAAUCAAACCCAACUAAAAGUGUUGAGUAAUUUAAAAAAUCCCAAGUGCUAGACACCCAAAUGGAUUUUUAGAUGUAAUGGGCAUUGAUCACUUUAAAAACAUUUCGGCAUAAAGCCUUCAUAAGUGGUUUUACUGUGACCUAGGUUGGUUAGGUCAGGUCAACAUAACAGCACACAUGGAAUCAGAUUAAUUCAACAUCAUUUAAAUAAUUUUUUCAGUUUAGUAGAUGACGGUCUGUUGAUGUAAUGUUGUCAAACACGAUCAUUUCCGAAGCCAUUUCAGAUCAGAAAAAGCGCCGGAGAUCCAGAACAGAGGCUUUACCCAUAACCACUCUGAGGGAAUGUUCACGUCAAGUGAUGUCAUAAUGCUUCUUUCAACCUGGAAGCAUUCCAUCGGAAAAAUAAGUGCUGUAAUGUUUUUCCUGAGUAGUCUCAAAAUGUGGUUCUGGGUGCUGAGAUUGUUUAAUUAAUUGUGUUGCCCUCUCUGGGUUCUGAGUUCUCUUCACCCGAACACUUUAAUAUGUCUGGUAUAACAAACCAACUCAGAUCUAGAAGGAAGCCUGAGCAGUUUUUGAUUUGCAUUAUCUCAGUUUGAUUAUCAAAUGCUAAGCUGACAAUUAUACUGUACUAGUCCAGUUUUGGGUACCGGUAUGCCCCUGUUCUGGAGGACAUAAGCACAUGGAUUUUAAGCACACACAUUAAUCCCAAGCAGUGGAUAUUCAGUCAGCAGAUCCAAUGGUUAAGGUCAAGCAGAGUGAUCGAAAUUGGUUAAGUUAAGGUUAAUGUUAAGGUAUGGUUAGGGUUAGGCAUAGCCAGGGUCAGAAAACUGCCAUCUGAAACCAUUCCAAAUCUGCCAGCUGUAUAUACAGUGCCAGUCAAAAGUUUGGACACACCUACUCAUUACAGGGUUUUUCUUAUUUUUUAAAAACUAUUUUCUACAUUGUAGAAUAAUAGUGAAGACAUCGAAACAAUGAAGACAUAUGGAAUCAUGUCGUAACCAAAGAAAGUGUUAAACAAAUCAAAAAUGCAUUCCAGGUGACUACCUCAUGAAGCUGGUUGAGAGUAUGUCAAGAGUGUGCAAAGCUGUCAUCAAAGCAAAGGGUGACUAGGUUGAAGAAUCUCAAAUUGAAAAUAUAUUUUGAUUUGUUUUAAACUUUUUUGAUUACUACACGAUUCCAUUUGUUAUUUCAUAGUUUUGAUGUCUUCACUAUUAUUCUACAAUGUAGAAAAUAGUCAAACCAAAAAUAAAGAAAAACCCUUGAAUGAGUCGGUGUGUCCAAACGUUUGACUGGUACUGUACACUGCCACUACCCACUGAGAUCUAAGACUUCCACACACAGAUCAGAAGCCUAGAUAGAUUUCUAAUGGGACUGAUUCAUUCACAUCUUUCACCUUUCUGGAGGUUUUCAUUUCUCUCUUUCAGAUCGCUGAUUUCCACACUCAUCGCUGACAUCUGGUAUGGAGGGAAAUGGUUGAUUUUUAAGCUGAACUGAAGGUUGAAUCUACAGAUCUACUCCUUUCAUUUGACCAGACUUUCUACACUCAGAAAAAAAGGUUUCAAAAUGGUUCUCCCAAAUAGGAGAACCCUAUUUGAUUCCGUGUAGAACCAUUUUCGGAACCAAAAGGGGUUCUUCAAAGGGUUCUCCUAUGGGUACACCCGAAUAACCCUUUUAAAUUCUAGAUAGCACGUCCUAAGAGUGUACGGCAAAGGAACGACGCCGUGCGCUUAGUUACAUUUUUCAAAUGUGGGAUUUUUUUUUGGGGGGUCUGACGAGAAAUGUGUCCCAAUUUGAGGCAUGUUUUGUAAGGCUACAAACAUUACUCUGUAGCGCCACCCCUUGGAAGCAAGUCAACUUCUUGUCCAGGCCUCUUCUACUCUUAGGGGGGAGUUAGUUAGUCAGUCAGAUGUGGUCGGAGUCCCAAAUGACACCCUAUUCCCUAUAUGGUGCAGCUAUGGGGCUCUGGUCAAAAGUAGUGCACUAUAGAGGGAAAAGGGGGCCAUUGUGGAAGCACAUGUGGUCGGUAUCAGUGCCUCUGGCCAGGUCAGCCAGUCUCCUCAGCCACAAAUGGGAUUAUUCCUCCCAGUAUAACAAGUAAUGUCAGAUUAUUAUUGUGCUGUAUUUCACAGAGGAGUGAUUAUGGAGUCUCUCUCUGCCCUCCACCUCUCUCUCUCUCUGCCCUCCACCUCUCUCUCUCUCUGCCCUCCACCUCUCUCUCUCUCUGCCCUCCACCUCUCUCUCUCUCUACCCUCCAUCUCUCUCUCCUCCACCUUUCUCUCUCUCUCUCUCUCUGCCCUCCACCUCUCUCUCUCUCUGCCCUCCAUCUC